GACGGAGGGUGCUAGCGUUGUUCGGAAUCACUGGGCGUAAAGGGCGCGUAGGCGGCCUUGCAAGUCGGUUGGUGAAAGCCCGGGGCUCAACCCCGGAGGUGCGGCCGAGACUGCAGGGCUGGAGGCCGGAAGAGGAGGGUGGAAUACCCAGUGUAGAGGUGAAAUUCGUAGAUAUUGGGUGGAACACCGGUGGCGAAAGCGGCUCACUGGCUCGGUUCUGACGCUGAGGCGCGAAAGCGUGGGGAGCAAACAGG
rnacentral:rRNA from 1 species